CUGGCAGACGUUCAACCCAUUCCCCAUCAAACCUCCAUUCUUUUUAUUUGCAAGCUCAAAUCUUAGCCUCUAAAAUCUCAAAUAUCAUUCAUAGAUCACAGAUUGAGGUUCGAGUGGCAGUGUAGAAUGAACAAGCAAGGACUUCUAUUUCAUUAAGCGUAUCAGGUUAAGCUGUGUGAUGCAGAUGGUAGCAUGCAGAGCAAAGCCCUCAAUGUAUAUAUAUAUAAUUUAGGCUCGGGAUUUCAUGUCCUCAUACAUGUAAUCCACUUGAGUUAUUUCCGCUGCAACACUUAAUGUACUUUACUUUUAUGAUGUGUUGUAGAGAUUUUAAACCAAUAGCUUCGAGAAUUAUAUCACUUAGACAACUUGUCGUUGUGUUAUUGUAAGUUGUCUACUCGUGAGUUUUAAAAGUGAUUGUAUAUGAUUACCAGACAUUAUGGUAAAGUCUUGCUUAAGCAGGAUAAUUAUUUUUAUUGAAACC